rnacentral:tRNA from 3 species
GCGCCCAUAGCUCAGUUGGUAGAGCAGAUCCCUCUUAAGGAUAAGGUCCCAGGUUCGAGCCCUGGUGGGCGCA